UUUUCAGCUUCCAACAGUAGUUGGGGAAGGCCUGUAUACAUUGAUCUUGCAACUAUUAAUGAUCCUAACAAAGGAUUCAUUGUCAAAGAUUGUUGUCUUCUAAAUAUAGAAAUCAACGUCAAAGCUGUUGCGCGAGUAUCUUAAUUAGUUACCUAUUAAAAAGUUGGAUUAGACGAUUUUGUUGUGCGUAUCAAACACAACUUUAUAUU
rnacentral:lncRNA from 1 species